rnacentral:rRNA from 1 species
GAUUAAGUUAUUAAGGGCGCACGGUGGAUGCCUUGGCACUAGAAGCCGAUGAAGGACGUUACUAACGACGAUAUGCUUUGGGGAGUUGUAAGUAAGCUUUGAUCCAGAGAUUUCCGAAUGGGGAAACCCAGCAUGAGUUAUGUCAUGUUAUCGAUAUGUGAAUACAUAGCAUAUCAGAAGGCACACCCGGAGAACUGAAACAUCUUAGUACCCGGAGGAAGAGAAAGAAAAUUCGAUUCCCUUAGUAGCGGCGAGCGAAACGGGAAGAGCCCAAACCAAAAAGCUUGCUUGUUGGGGUUGUAGGACACUCUAUACGGAGUUACAAAGGACGACAUUAGACGAAUCAUCUGGAAAGAUGAAUCAAAGAAGGUAAUAAUCCUGUAGUCGAAAAUGUUGUCUCUCUUGAGUGGAUCCUGAGUACGACGGAGCACGUGAAAUUCCGUCGGAAUCUGGGAGGACCAUCUCCUAAGGCUAAAUACUCUCUAGUGACCGAUAGUGAACCAGUACCGUGAGGGAAAGGUGAAAAGCACCCCGGAAGGGGAGUGAAAUAGAACCUGAAACCGUGUGCUUACAAGUAGUCAGAGCCCGUUAAUGGGUGAUGGCGUGCCUUUUGUAGAAUGAACCGGCGAGUUACGAUUUGAUGCAAGGUUAAGCAGUAAAUGUGGAGCCGUAGCGAAAGCGAGUCUGAAUAGGGCGUUUAGUAUUUGGUCGUAGACCCGAAACCAGGUGAUCUACCCUUGGUCAGGUUGAAGUUCAGGUAACACUGAAUGGAGGACCGAACCGACUUACGUUGAAAAGUGAGCGGAUGAACUGAGGGUAGCGGAGAAAUUCCAAUCGAACCUGGAGAUAGCUGGUUCUCUCCGAAAUAGCUUUAGGGCUAGCCUCAAGUGAUGAUUAUUGGAGGUAGAGCACUGUUUGGACGAGGGGCCCCUCUCGGGUUACCGAAUUCAGACAAACUCCGAAUGCCAAUUAAUUUAACUUGGGAGUCAGAACAUGGGUGAUAAGGUCCGUGUUCGAAAGGGAAACAGCCCAGACCACCAGCUAAGGUCCCAAAAUAUAUGUUAAGUGGAAAAGGAUGUGGCGUUGCCCAGACAACUAGGAUGUUGGCUUAGAAGCAGCCAUCAUUUAAAGAGUGCGUAAUAGCUCACUAGUCGAGUGACACUGCGCCGAAAAUGUACCGGGGCUAAACAUAUUACCGAAGCUGUGGAUUGUCCUUUGGACAAUGGUAGGAGAGCGUUCUAAGGGCGUUGAAGCAUGAUCGUAAGGACAUGUGGAGCGCUUAGAAGUGAGAAUGCCGGUGUGAGUAGCGAAAGACGGGUGAGAAUCCCGUCCACCGAUUGACUAAGGUUUCCAGAGGAAGGCUCGUCCGCUCUGGGUUAGUCGGGUCCUAAGCUGAGGCCGACAGGCGUAGGCGAUGGAUAACAGGUUGAUAUUCCUGUACCACCUAUAAUCGUUUUAAUCGAUGGGGGGACGCAGUAGGAUAGGCGAAGCGUGCGAUUGGAUUGCACGUCUAAGCAGUAAGGCUGAGUAUUAGGCAAAUCCGGUACUCGUUAAGGCUGAGCUGUGAUGGGGAGAAGACAUUGAGUCUUCGAGUCGUUGAUUUCACACUGCCGAGAAAAGCCUCUAGAUAGAAAAUAGGUGCCCGUACCGCAAACCGACACAGGUAGUCAAGAUGAGAAUUCUAAGGUGAGCGAGCGAACUCUCGUUAAGGAACUCGGCAAAAUGACCCCGUAACUUCGGGAGAAGGGGUGCUCUUUAGGGUUAACGCCCAGAAGAGCCGCAGUGAAUAGGCCCAAGCGACUGUUUAUCAAAAACACAGGUCUCUGCUAAACCGUAAGGUGAUGUAUAGGGGCUGACGCCUGCCCGGUGCUGGAAGGUUAAGAGGAGUGGUUAGCUUCUGCGAAGCUACGAAUCGAAGCCCCAGUAAACGGCGGCCGUAACUAUAACGGUCCUAAGGUAGCGAAAUUCCUUGUCGGGUAAGUUCCGACCCGCACGAAAGGCGUAACGAUUUGGGCACUGUCUCAACGAGAGACUCGGUGAAAUCAUAGUACCUGUGAAGAUGCAGGUUACCCGCGACAGGACGGAAAGACCCCGUGGAGCUUUACUGUAGCCUGAUAUUGAAAUUCGGCACAGCUUGUACAGGAUAGGUAGGAGCCUUUGAAACGUGAGCGCUAGCUUACGUGGAGGCGCUGGUGGGAUACUACCCUAGCUGUGUUGGCUUUCUAACCCGCACCACUUAUCGUGGUGGGAGACAGUGUCAGGCGGGCAGUUUGACUGGGGCGGUCGCCUCCUAAAAGGUAACGGAGGCGCUCAAAGGUUCCCUCAGAAUGGUUGGAAAUCAUUCAUAGAGUGUAAAGGCAUAAGGGAGCUUGACUGCGAGACCUACAAGUCGAGCAGGGUCGAAAGACGGACUUAGUGAUCCGGUGGUUCCGCAUGGAAGGGCCAUCGCUCAACGGAUAAAAGCUACCCCGGGGAUAACAGGCUUAUCUCCCCCAAGAGUUCACAUCGACGGGGAGGUUUGGCACCUCGAUGUCGGCUCAUCGCAUCCUGGGGCUGUAGUCGGUCCCAAGGGUUGGGCUGUUCGCCCAUUAAAGCGGUACGCGAGCUGGGUUCAGAACGUCGUGAGACAGUUCGGUCCCUAUCCGUCGUGGGCGUAGGAAAUUUGAGAGGAGCUGUCCUUAGUACGAGAGGACCGGGAUGGACAUACCUCUGGUGUACCAGUUGUCGUGCCAACGGCAUAGCUGGGUAGCUAUGUGUGGACGGGAUAAGUGCUGAAAGCAUCUAAGCAUGAAGCCCCCCUCAAGAUGAGAUUUCCCAACUUCGGUUAUAAGAUC